rnacentral:rRNA from 1 species
GACGAGGGCGCGAGCGUUGUCCGGAAUUAUUGGGCGUAAAGAGCGUGUAGGCGGUCCGGUAAGUCCGCUGUGAAAGUCGGGGGCUCAACCCUCGAAUGCCGGUGGAUACUGUCGGGCUAGAGUGCGGAAGAGGAGAAUGGAAUUCCCGGUGUAGCGGUGAAAUGCGCAGAUAUCGGGAAGAACACCCGUGGCGGAAGGCGGUUCUCUGGGACGGUACUGGACGCUGAGA